AGUUUGAUCCUGGCUCAGGAUGAACGCUAGCUACAGGCUUAACACAUGCAAGUCGAGGGGCAGCAUGAUUGAAGCUUGCUUCAAUCGAUGGCGACCGGCGCACGGGUGAGUAACACGUAUCCAACCUGCCGAUAACUCGGGGAUAGCCUUUCGAAAGAAAGAUUAAUACCCGAUAGUAUAGUAUUUCCGCAUGGUUUCACUAUUAAAGAAUUUCGGUUAUCGAUGGGGAUGCGUUCCAUUAGAUAGUUGGCGGGGUAACGGCCCACCAAGUCAACGAUGGAUAGGGGUUCUGAGAGGAAGGUCCCCCACAUUGGAACUGAGACACGGUCCAAACUCCUACGGGAGGCAGCAGUGAGGAAUAUUGGUCAAUGGACGAGAGUCUGAACCAGCCAAGUAGCGUGAAGGAUGACUGCCCUAUGGGUUGUAAACUUCUUUUAUACGGGAAUAAAGUGGAGUAUGCAUACUCCUUUGUAUGUACCGUAUGAAUAAGGAUCGGCUAACUCCGUGCCAGCAGCCGCGGUAAUACGGAGGAUCCGAGCGUUAUCCGGAUUUAUUGGGUUUAAAGGGAGCGUAGGCGGGUGCUUAAGUCAGUUGUGAAAGUUUGCGGCUCAACCGUAAAAUUGCAGUUGAUACUGGGUACCUUGAGUGCAGCAUAGGUAGGCGGAAUUCGUGGUGUAGCGGUGAAAUGCUUAGAUAUCACGAAGAACUCCGAUUGCGAAGGCAGCUUACUGGACUGUAACUGACGCUGAUGCUCGAAAGUGUGGGUAUCAAACAGGAUUAGAUACCCUGGUAGUCCACACAGUAAACGAUGAAUACUCGCUGUUGGCGAUACACAGUCAGCGGCCAAGCGAAAGCAUUAAGUAUUCCACCUGGGGAGUACGCCGGCAACGGUGAAACUCAAAGGAAUUGACGGGGGCCCGCACAAGCGGAGGAACAUGUGGUUUAAUUCGAUGAUACGCGAGGAACCUUACCCGGGCUUAAAUUGCAGUGGAAUGUAGUGGAAACAUUACAGCCUUCGGGCCGCUGUGAAGGUGCUGCAUGGUUGUCGUCAGCUCGUGCCGUGAGGUGUCGGCUUAAGUGCCAUAACGAGCGCAACCCUUAUCUAUAGUUACUAUCAGGUCAUGCUGAGGACUCUAUGGAGACUGCCGUCGUAAGAUGUGAGGAAGGUGG
rnacentral:rRNA from 1 species